CAUAAAAUAGUUUAAAGAAAAUACUGGUUUUGGAAAUCAGAGAUGGUAGUAUUACUUUUUUUGA
rnacentral:tRNA from 1 species